rnacentral:misc_RNA from 1 species
AAGUCGUAACAAGGUAACCGUAGGUGAACCUGCGGUUGGAUCAUUAGAAUAAAACAUUUAUCUAGCACUCCGCUUGUCGGAGUUGGGGCUGACCUUCCAUUUCAAAUGGGGCAGGCCAGGAAGUCUGCGCUCGUGAGUAUACUCAUGAGCGUGCCUGGACUGAACCGAAGUGGAAGCAAAGCUUUUCAGAUCUUAUGUGAACCAUAUCUGUCUCUGGUGGUGGGGCAAGUAAUUCCUACUUGCCUGUCAGUUUUGCCGCAAUGCUGGCAAAACCGUGGACAAGCCACCAACCGUGAACACACGGUUGUAUGAACAUUUGAUUGUAACUUCUGUCUGACGAUCGUAUAUGUCUCAAAUAUACAAACAACUUUUGGCAACGGAUCUCUUGGCUCUC